GUGGGGAAUAUUGGUCAAUGGGGGAAACCCUGAACCAGCAACGCCGCGUGAAGGAAGAAGGCUUUCGGGUUGUAAACUUCUUUGACAGGGGACGAAAGCAAUGACGGUACCCUGAAAACAAGCCACGGCUAACUACGUGCCAGCAGCCGCGGUAAUACGUAGGUGGCGAGCGUUGUCCGGAUUUACUGGGUGUAAAGGGCGUGUAGGCGGGGCGGUAAGUCAGAUGUGAAAUGUAGGGGCUCAACCCCUGAAUUGCAUUUGAAACUAUCGUUCUUGAGUGAUGGAGAGGCAGGCGGAAUUCCGUGUGUAGCGGUGAAAUGCGUAGAUAUACGGAGGAACACCAGUGGCGAAGGCGGCCUGCUGGACAUUAACUGACGCUGAGGCGCGAAAGCGUGGGGAGCAAACAGGAUUAGAAACCCUGGUAGUCC
rnacentral:rRNA from 1 species